GCCUGUCAGGGGACACAAGGCAUGGGCAAAGCAUGCUGCAUCCCUGUGGGCUUAGGGCACGGGCAGGAAGACCCUACUCACAGUGUCCUCAGAUGAGGGACAGUGGGAAACAGAAGGUGGGUGGCUUACACAGCUCCAUUCCUUCUCCCCACAACUCAGGAGGGGAUCACUUCCCAGUAGAGGUCCCAAGCUUACUGGCACAGAAAAAUGACACAAAAGAAUGACAUUUCUAGCCAAGCUGAGGAUGCCUGGCUAGCUUGGAAGUGACACCUGGGCUGUAGUCACCUCAAAGGGAUGUUGACCUUACAGCCAAGGCAGGAGACUGAACUCAACUCAGAGCCAAUCCAUGGCUUCAUGUCUAGUCUGAUCCACUGCUGCCCAGGAAAAGAGGGGAAAGCAUCUGGAAAGGCUCUUGACCCAGGCCAGGCCAAAAUGACUGUGCUGUUGAUGAGCCCUGGGAUGCAGAAAAUACCCACAGCAGAGCACAGGCUGUCCUAUGCCCUGGGCUGAGGCACAGUGUCUUCUCCCCUCUCCAGGCUAGCCAGAGGAAACUCCCUAACAGGAACCAUUUCCAACCGUUCCCUGCAGAAGGGAAGGGGAGUAGCAAAAUACCAGGCACUGUUUCUGGGAAGCCACAAAUUGCUCCUGUCUGGCUGGCUGCUGUCCUUAAGAGAUACCACCCAGAGCAGACUACACAUGAUUCUGCCCUGCAUCAAAACCCAGCCUGGCGCUCCUGGGCUUCAGAUGCUUUGGACCCAUGUGAGGUCCCAGUGAGGUGGUGGGUGCACUCACAUAGGGGAGCAGAGUGUGUGGGAACACUGCAUCGCUGCCUGCUGACAUUACAGAGUGGAACACAAAACUUUUUCCACAUGGCUGGGAGGCUCAAAUUUUUGUAACACAUUUUCAUUGGUUUCUGGCAGAAAGGAUCUAUUGACCGCUGCUCCUAAUGAACCGUGCUCGUUACAGCCACAGCCCACUGCUAGAGGACUUGCUGUCCUGUUCAACACCACCCCCAAAAGCCACAUGCGCCGAAGAAGUACAUGCACAACCACAGCACAACCCUGCUAAACAGCCCUCUUGAUUAUUAUCAUGAUCAUUAUUAUUUACAGCAUAGGUACUAACAUAAUACACCACUUAAGCAGGAAGGUGUUGGAGAAAGACUUAAUGGGGAUCUCAGUUAAACCUCUAGCACAGGAACAAUACAAAUGUCACUCGUGGAGACUUUGAGAAUUUGUCCUGUCCUACCUCUGCCCCAAACUCGUCCAUCUCUGUUCAGAGAUGCUCAUUGCAUGUGGGGCUUAUACAGGAAUUCCGUUCUUAGGUACCUGGCUAGAAAAAGCCCUGAGUAUUUUCCCCAGCUGCCUUUCCCAUUUGUUGCCCACUCCGGAGGAGGGGACAUGCUCGACCUACAUCAAAACUUCCUGUUACUGGCAGGCAAAUUUGUCCCUGACCGGCACUUGCACCUGUGGCCAUGAUGAGAAAACAAAAAUGCCUCCUUCCUGGUCAGCACACAGAGACAGCCACUGUUGUUUGCAUUCUCAAGAUGCAGGCAGGGAAGGGAUAAUGCAGGCAGGGAAGAGAUGCAAAGAGAGAAGAGUCAUCUCAUCUUGCACCCUUUGGCAGCUGGAGAGUACAACUGAGCAAAAGCAUUCCUGAGCUCCCCAGAGGCCACCAGACUCAGCCCAGGCAGAAGCCCAGGAGCCUUCACCCGCCUAAUGAAGAACAGCUCGUACAUUCCUGUCCCAGGCGCAGCCCCCAGCGUGGUGGUGACCGACCCCCAGCCCUGCUGGGGUGGUCAGCGGAGCGGCCCAGGCGCUGUGCCUGUGCUGGGGUCACUGCUGAGACCACCGCCCUGGUGAGGUCAGGCAGUGAGCUCAGGCAGCCGCCCAGCCCCAGGCCAUCUGGCACCCACUGGAGGCGGAGCAGCCAGGGCUGAGGAUGGAGGCUCCAGCCAGUUCCUCCACUAGCCCAGGGUGUUGUCUGCUGGAGAGCCAGCUGCAAUGUGCCUUGGACUUUGAACGAACUUUUGUGCUUUGGUGGGGUCUUGGCAUCAAGCCGGUGCAGUUCGUCUGGCAGGGACUGGUGAGGGAGCAUGCUGGUAAUGCUUGCAGGUGAUGAGAGGCUCAAAGGAGACACCACACACCAAGAAGGACAGAAUAACAACAGCCCUGCUGGGACUGACACCCCACCUCUCACAAGUCUCAGCAACGUGCAACAGACACUUAAAUCAAUGUCACAUAACACCCAAAUGCUAACACUGAGGUGUUCUGGAUGGCCAAACUCCAUGUGUAAGUCAUUGCAGAGACGCUGCACCCUCCAAAUUGUGACCAGCCCCAUCAUCUGGCUUGGGUUAUGAUUUUAGGGUGGAAUGAAAGUCCAGUCUCCUCUCCUGUGACUCCAGUGAUCACACUUAGUCCUCUAAAGGUCUGAAGUUAAGAAAGUUAACUCCCACCACCUCUUCAGUCUUGGUCCCCUUGAAACCUGUGAUGUUCCCAUGAGCCAAGCUGUUUUACAGACACAGGAGCAGUAGUAAGAAAACACAGACCCUAUUUCAUUUCCUGGGAAUUAGGAACUUCAAUAGCUGCCAAAGGCAGCAGAACACUUGUGAUUUGCAGAGUGUGGAAGGAAGUCCUUAGCAGUCAAAGCAGUGCUCCCAGAAACACCCACUCUGCCCCACCAUUCCCAGUCACCUACCAAAGACAGAUGAUGAGAAUCCAAUCAGUCCAUGGCUCAAAAGCCACACAAGCUUUUGGAAGAGGGGCUCCAGGGUAUUCCAGUAUCUUAUACCCCUGUGACAACAUGGUGGAAGUUGAUGAGACCUCACUCCCUUGUUCCACUGAGACACCUUUUAAGGGAAGGAUAUGGAUCAGUAAGGCCAAGCUCAGAGAAGAGAUGGAAAAGCAUUCAGAGAGUUGGCUUGGAAGGCUAGGACUGAUCUCCAUUUCAUUAAGCCAAGAGCCAGGAGGAUGCUUGGGAACAGCUCAAGAAUACCUGAAGAGCCUCAGAGAACAAGCACUGAUGGCAGAGGGGUGUGCUAUUCCAUGGCUUUUUUUUUUUUUAAGUAAUUGUUUGGGCUUUGCUGAACUAGCCUGGAAGACCAGCUCCUUCUCAGGUGAUUAAUGUCUCCUCAGCAGAAACCUGUGGAUACAGAUUCUGCUGUAUCAGCCAGGGCUCACCUGCAGAGCGUGAAUAUCAGGUGCUUGGGCUGCCCCCAGGUUCACACAGGAUUCAUGGGAAAGGGAGAUCAUAAUCCUGAUGACCUCUGUGUCCUCAUAGAGAGCUGGAUGGGGGAGAAAUGCAGCUCAGCAUGUGGGAAAGGAGCUCUCAAGGGAACCAGCUCAUGUUUUGGUCUGCUCUGGAAGUGCAGGACCUAUCUGUAGGAGUGGAUCUCUGGGUCAGCACGACUUCGCAGUGCCAGCAAAUGCCACGGAGGUGGGAGAGUCACAAAAUAAAACUCUCUGGAAGUAACUGUA